rnacentral:lncRNA from 10 species
CAGGUACUCGCUCUGUUGCCCAGGCUGGAGUGCAAUGGUGCAAUCACAGCUCACUGCAGCCUUGACCUCCUGAGUAGCCAGGACUACAGCCAAAAAUCCCUAAAGAAUCAGUGUCUGUUCCCGAGGUGGAGGUGAGGAUGAAGGGUCCCAGAUCUCCCCUCACCUGAAUGAGCGCAUCAAGGGACCCCGUGAUGAUCAGGUUGUUCUCAGUACCAAAAACAGCCGUCUCCACCAUGUCUUCAUGUUCCAGAUCCAUGGCCAUGAAUCGGCGAAAGCCCCUCGAGUCCGCCAAGAAUAUCCGCACCGAUCUUCCAAAGCCUGAAACGGCAGGAACUGGGGUUACACCUCUCAUGUCCAGAGGAGAUUGAGGGUCAUUCCUUCCAUCAACAGAGGUGUUUUGGAGGCCGGAUGUGGUGGUUCAUGCCUGUAAUCCCAGCACUUUGGGACGCCAAGGCGGGCAGAUCACUCGAGGUCAGGAGUUCGAGAUCAGCCUGGCCAACAUGGUGAACCCCGAUGUUUCAUGUAUUUUAUUCUCUACUAAAAAUACAAAAAUUAGCCAGGUGUGGUGGCACAUGCAUGUAAUCCCAGCUACUCAGGAGGCCGAGGCAGGAGAAUUGCUUGAGCCCAGGAGGCAGAGGCUGCAGUAAGCUGAGAUUGCACCACUACACUCCAGCCUGGGCAACAGAGCCAGACUCUGUCUCAAAAAAAAAAAAAAAAAAAAGAGAUGUUUUGGAACCCCUGCUAGGUGCCAGGAGAAGGGAUCCAGGACGGGGAAGGUGGAUUCAGUCCUGUCCCCAUCUGCACAUAGCCCACAGCUGGUUGGGGGAGGGCCUGACUUCUGUAAUCACUCAUCAAUUUUUUUUUUUUUUUGAGAUGGAGUCUCGCUCUGUCACUGAGGCUGGAGUGCAGUGGCAUGAUCUUGGCUCACUGCAACCUCUGCCUCCUGGGUUCAAGCGAUUCUCCUGCCUCAGCUUCCUGAGUAGCUGGGCUUGUAGGUGCUGACCACCAUGCCUGGCUAAAUUUUGUAUUUUUUAGUAGAUACCAGGUUUCACCAUGCUGGCCAAGCUGGUCUCAAACUCCUGAUCUCAAGUGAUCCGCCCACCUCGGACUUCCAAUGUGCUGGGAUUACAGGCCUGAGCCACCGUACCCAGCCAGUAAUCACUCAUCUUAAGGAAACUUGUAAAGUUAUUAUAAUGAAACUGUAAGUUCCUGGAGGGCAGGGACUGCCUAUUUGGCUCAUCAUGGUAUCUCAGAAACUAGCACAAAGCUGGGCACACAGCAGGCCUUUGAUAACUAUGAUGGAAGGAAGGGAGGAAGGAGAGAGGAGAGUCAAGGAGGUAGAGAGGAAGAAAAGUAAAGAGGAAGGGAGGAAGGAGAGAAAUGAGAAGGGGAAGAAGGAAGGAAGAAGAGGAAAGAAAGUAAGAAGGGAGAAAGGAAGGGAUAGCGGCAGGAGGCAGGCAAAUGCCUAGGCAGAUAGGAAUGGGUCCCCAGUGAAACUGUACCUUUGAACCAAAAACAGCCUGGGCUGCUGUUUCCAAAUGAAAUCCACAACCCAGAGUGAGAACUCCUGUUCCUGUUUGCCCACCCUUUCCUGAUUGAUUCUUUCUGAAUAAGACUUUUGUGGCAGUGGCAUGAUCUUGGCUCACUGCAAUCUUCACCUCCUGGGUUUAAGCAAUUCUCCCACCUCAUCCUCCCGAGUAGCUGGGAUUACAGGCGCCUGCCACCAUGCCCAGUUAAUUUUUGUAUUUUUAGUAGAGACAGGGUUUCACCAUGAUCAUCAGAAGUUCAGAUCAGAAGUUCACUGAUCUGAACUUCUGAUCUCAGGUGAUGGCCCACCUUGGCCUCCCAAAGUGCUGGAAUUACAGGCGUGAGCCACUGCACCUGGCCUGAAUAAUGCUUUUUAACCAAUUGAAUGUUACGUUUUCCAAUACUACCUACCACCUGCCCCUCCCCCAUCCUGUGCCUAUAAAAACGCCCAGACUCAGCCACACUGAGAGAGAUGACCCAACCUUCACAUCCCCUCUCCCCUGAGAGCUGUUUUGUUGCUCAAUAAAAUUCUCUGUCCUUAUCACUUUUCAAU